rnacentral:rRNA from 1 species
CCUACGGGGUGCAGCAGUAGGGAAUCUUCCACAAUGGGCGAAAGCCUGAUGGAGCAACGCCGCGUGGGUGAAGAAGGUCUUCGGAUCGUAAAACCCUGUUGUUAGAGAAGAAAGUGCGUGAGAGUAACUGUUCACGUUUCGACGGUAUCUAACCAGAAAGCCACGGCUAACUACGUGCCAGCAGCCGCGGUAAUACGUAGGUGGCAAGCGUUAUCCGGAUUUAUUGGGCGUAAAGGGAACGCAGGCGGUCUUUUAAGUCUGAUGUGAAAGCCUUCGGCUUAACCGGAGUAGUGCAUUGGAAACUGGGGGACGUGAGUGCAGAAGAGGAGAGUGGAACUCCAUGUGUAGCGGUGAAAUGCGUAGAUAUAUGGAAGAACACCAGUGGCGAAGGCGGCUCUCUGGUCUGUAACUGACGCUGAGGUUCGAAAGCGUGGGUAGCAAACAGGAUUAGAUACCCCAGUAGUC